GUCCUUAAGGGGUUAAACCAAUCCCCCCGGCAAUUAGUAAAUGGAAUUCUGAUUUGCAAAAGGAUAUAACUAUGAAAGAAUGGAAUAAUUCCCUUAAUACAUUAUACAAAGCUUGUCAUUGCUUAAAUAUACAGGAUGGUAUAGAACACCUCAAAAGAUUGCAAAAAUGUAUCCUACAUCGCCAUCUAAUUUAGACCCAUUAUUCUUCAUAUUUUAAUGGCUGUGAAAACCACAAAAGCCAGAAAUUGGAAAUCCACCAAUAUAGAUAAUUGGUGUAAGAUUUAUGCCCAAAGUAUUGUACAAUGUAAAAUGGAAAGAGCCAUUGCCAAUUUUGCACCAAAAAUGGGCAACCACUAUAGUUACUGGGACAGAUGGGUAAAGAAAAUUGGAUCUAAAUAGUAAAUUUCUUAUGUGUUUAGUUAAUUAUCUCUUCGUGUCUUUCUUGUGCUAGAUAUUUGUUUUACUUUUUUUCCUUUUGCUAAAGAGUU